rnacentral:rRNA from 1 species
UACGGAGGGGGCGAGCGUUGUCCGAAGUUACUGGGCGUAAAGCGCGCGUAGGCGGGUUGGUAAGUCCGCUGUGAAAGCCCGGAGCUUAACUCCGGAGGGUCGGUGGAUACUGCCAGUCUUGAAGGUGCUAGGGGGAGAUGGAAUUACCGGUGUAGCGGUGAAAUGCGUAGAUAUCGGUAGGAACACCGGUGGCGAAGGCGGCAUCCUGGACCAACACUGACGCUGAGUGAGCGAAAGCCAGGGGAGCAAACGGG